CACGCCGUCCCGGCCAAGGCCACAGAGAUAAGUUGGGUUCCCGCACCGCCGAGUUCAAGCCCGCCGAGGGCGGGGAGGCAUUCCCAGAGGAGGUGAGGAUGGCGCAGCGAAAGGCUAGAGCGUUUUAACUCCUGCAGCCCCGGCACACUUUUUCAGACCGAGGAUUUGUGGUCCCUGUUGCAGGCUCGGCUUCUUUGUAAACUCGGAGCCCUUCGGAGAUGAGGACUGGGGAGACUGAGACCCUAAGACCAAAGUGGAGGAGAAAAUGAUAAAUGUCCGUUACCGAUGGUCAGCAUAAAGUGCCAAUCGCAAUACAUCGUCCUGCUCCUGGCCUUCUCGCUCGCGGUGAUGGGGCAGCGGAGCAGGGGAGCCGGAGGCCGGGUCCCCUCC